CCUACGGGAGGCAGCAGUGAGGAAUAUUGGUCAAUGGGCGAGAGCCUGAACCAGCCAAGUCGCGUGAGGGAGUACUGCCCUAUGGGUUGUAAACCUCUUUUGUCGGGGAGCAAAAGCCGGACGUGUCCGGCUGUGAGAGUACCCGAAGAAAAAGCAUCGGCUAACUCCGUGCCAGCAGCCGCGGUAAUACGGAGGAUGCGAGCGUUAUUCGGAUUUAUUGGGUUUAAAGGGUGCGCAGGCGGAUUUUUAAGUCAGCGGUAAAAUCGUGGGGCUCAACCCCAUCCAGCCGUUGAAACUGGGGAUCUAGAGUGUGCGAGAGGUAUGCGGAAUGCGUGGUGUAGCGGUGAAAUGCAGAGAUAUCACGCAGAACCCCGAUUGCGAAGGCAGCAUACCGGUGCACAACUGACGCUCAGGCACGAAAGCGUGGGUAUCGAACAGGAUUAGAUACCCCUGUAGUC
rnacentral:rRNA from 1 species